rnacentral:rRNA from 1 species
AUUGAACGCUGGCGGCAGGCCUAACACAUGCAAGUCGAACGAGUGGCGGACGGGUGAGUAAUGUCUGGGAAACUGCCUGAUGGAGGGGGAUAACUACUGGAAACGGUAGCUAAUACCGCAUACCAUCGGAUGUGCCCAGAUGGGAUUAGCUAGUAGGUGGGGUAAAGGCUCACCGAGGCGACGAUCCCUAGCUGGUCUGAGUGGAUGACCAGCCACACUGGAACGUAUACACGGUCCAGACUCCUAAGGGGGGCCGCAGUGGGGAAUAUUGCACAAUGGGCGAAAGCCUUAUGCAGCCAGGCCGCGUGUAUGAAGAAGGCCUUCGGGUUGUAAAGUACUUUCAUCGGGGAGGCGUUACCCGCAGAAGAAGCACCGGCUAACUCCGUGCCAGCCGCCGCGGUAAUAC